rnacentral:rRNA from 1 species
UACAGAGGGGGCAAGCGUUAUUCGGAAUUAUUGGGCGUAAAGAGCUCGUAGGCGGUUUGUCACGUCGGGUGUGAAAGCCCACAGCUUAACUGUGGGCCUGCAUUCGAUACGGGCAGACUAGAGGCAGGUAGGGGAGAACGGAAUUCCCGGUGUAGCGGUGAAAUGCGCAGAUAUCGGGAGGAACACCGGUGGCGAAGGCGGUUCUCUGGGCCUGUACUGACGCUGAGGAGCGAAAGCGUGGGGAGCGAACAGG